UCUUCACAUAGAAUAUGAAGCUCUCUGUGGUAGGUCAUAAGAAUAUAUAUAGUUUUGUUAAAUCUGGUUCACAUCCAAAUCGUGACCAUACCUGGUACGACCAUUUGUUCCCCCACCCCACCCCACCCCACCCCACACAGACACAAGUUGCAUACACCUGGUACAUCUUUUCACAUAGAAUAUGAAACUCUCUGUGGUAGGACAUAAAAAUAUAUAUAGUUUUGUUAAAUCUGGUUCACAUCCAAAUCGUGACCAUACCUGGUACGGCCAUGUGUAUCCCACAUCCAAACAAAAAUAUCACACACCCACACACACACACACACAAACACACACGUGCAUGUACAGACAAACGCAUGCAUACAAACCUGCUUAUAAAAGUCGAGCAUCCCUCUAGGCUUUAUAAUACUCUGUACUUAGAACAACGUGUGCGAUCUUACAACAUGGCUGAUGUUUGUCCUAACGCGCCGAAAAAAGCUCACCCUUUUUUGGGAAGAAUAGAAAAAAUGUUAGAACAUGAAAAGAUUCAAUAUUGGGUAAUGUCAAACGGAUGUACAGCCGGGUUUUUUUUCGAUGCAGAAAAAGGAACCGUUUUGCUUUUCAAGUUCUCGGUCCCGGCACACACGAUCUUUUCCUUUCACGUAGAAUAUGAAGCACUCCGAGUCAGGCCUAGGUCAAAAGGUCAACAACGUAAAAACCCCGUUCUGAUGCAUUCCCGAGCACAAACACACCCCACACACACACUCGAAUGCAUACGAACCUGUUUAUAAAGUCGAGCACUUCGAAAGUUUUAACAUCGGAAAAGGUUCGACCGAAUUUCCAGAGUCAGUUCUUCACUACUUCGAAAGUUUGAACAUCGGCAAAGUUCAACAGAAUUUCCAGACCCCAUGGAUUUCUCGGCAGGUAAAAAUUUGUAUUUUAAUCAAUUAAUAGUUAAAUAUAAAUUGAAAUACAAUGUUUAUGUAAUUAUCCAGUAGGCAAUGAUAUUGAUAUAAACUUAGAACUAAUCAUUCUGAGUACAAAAAUCAUCAUACUUAUCUGGUCAUUAUGUAAUCUGGUACGAUACUUUAUCUAAAUUGUAAAUAUUCAUUACAUUUAUAUUACAGUGCAAGACCGAGUUAAGCUCAUCUGUUUCUAGUGUAUAGGUAAUUAAAAUUUGUCUCUUAGAUCUAUGUAGUGAUCUAAAAUGAGAAUGUUAAGUUAUUAAAAGUAUGUUUUACUGUUUUAUAGACAGCUUGGUGAUUAUUUCUGAUGAUGAGAUUCCCGAAACAACCACUCAGGACCUUUUGAAUCUGAGUUCCACACAAUUUGAGGGACACGUGUCUAACAGUGAUUACGACGGAGAUAUUUCAGAUACGAGUGCUGCAAUAGAAGACCCAGAGGAAAUCAUCUCGGAAACCGACAUUCAACAAGACAUCGAACUACAACAGAUCUGCGCAGUGUGGCGUGAAUU